rnacentral:rRNA from 1 species
UACAGAGGGUGCGAGCGUUAAUCGGAAUUACUGGGCGUAAAGCGCACGUAGUCGGCUUGUCAAGUCGGGUGUGAAAUCCCCGGGCUCAACCUGGGAACUGCAUCCGAAACUGACUUGCUAGAGUAUGGGAGAGGGAAGCGGAAUUUCUGGUGUAGCAGUGAAAUGCGUAGAUAUCAGAAGGAACAUCAGUGGCGAAGGCGGCUUCCUGGACCAAUACUGACGAUCAGGUGCGAAAGCGUGGGGAGCAAACAGG